rnacentral:tRNA from 1 species
GUGUAAAUAGUUUAAAUAUAAAAUAUUAAGUUGUGGUCUUAAAGAUAUAAUCCUGUUUUACACA